UACAGAGGUCUCAAGCGUUGUUCGGAUUCAUUGGGCGUAAAGGGUGCGUAGGCGGCGCGGUAAGUCGGGUGUGAAAUCUCGGGGCUUAACUCCGAAACUGCAUUCGAUACUGCCGUGCUUGAGGACUGGAGAGGAGAAUGGAAUUCCCGGUGUAGCGGUGAAAUGCGCAGAUAUCGGGAAGAACACCCGUGGCGAAGGCGGUUCUCUGGGACGGUACUGACGCUGAGACGCGAAAGCGUGGGGAGCGAACAGG
rnacentral:rRNA from 1 species